AUUGAACGCUGGCGGCAUGCUUCACACAUGCAAGUCGAACGGUAACAGGCCUUCGGGUGCUGACGAGUGGCGAACGGGUGAGUAAUGCAUCGGAACGUACCCAGAGGUGGGGGAUAACGCAGCGAAAGCUGUGCUAAUACCGCAUGUGAUCUGAGGAUGAAAGCGGGGGACCGAGCAGCAAUGUUUGGCCUCGCGCCUUUGGAGCGGCCGAUGUCGGAUUAGCUAGUUGGUGGGGUAAAGGCCUACCAAGGCGACGAUCCGUAGCUGGUCUGAGAGGACGACCAGCCACACUGGGACUGAGACACGGCCCAGACUCCUACGGGAGGCAGCAGUGGGGAAUUUUGGACAAUGGGCGCAAGCCUGAUCCAGCAAUGCCGCGUGCGGGAAGAAGGCCUUCGGGUUGUAAACCGCUUUUGGCAGGAACGAAACGGUGUCCGCUAAUACCGGGCGCUAAUGACGGUACCUGCAGAAUAAGCACCGGCUAACUACGUG
rnacentral:rRNA from 1 species